rnacentral:rRNA from 1 species
UGGGGAAUAUUGGACAAUGGGCGAAAGCCUGAUCCAGCCAUGCCGCGUGAGUGACGAAGGCCUUAGGGUUGUAAAACUCUUUCGUCGGGGACGAUAAUGACGGUACCCGAAGAAGAAGCUCCGGCUAACUUCGUGCCAGCAGCCGCGGUAAUACGAAGGGAGCUAGCGUUGUUCGGAAUCACUGGGCGUAAAGCGCACGUAGGCGGAUGUGUCAGUCAGGGGUGAAAUCCCGGAGCUCAACUUCGGAACUGCCCUUGAUACAGCACGUCUUGAGUCCGAUAGAGGUGGGUGGAAUUCCUAGUGUAGAGGUGAAAUUCGUAGAUAUUAGGAAGAACACCGGUGGCGAAGGCGGCCCACUGGAUCGGUACUGACGCUGAGGUGCGAAAGCGUGGGGAGCAAACAGGAUUAGAUACCCUCGUAUCCCUGAGCGGGCUGGCAAGGCGCAU